CCGCAGUCUCCGCCGGCGGGCAGCCUUGGCUGCUGCGCUCUCGGCGUCUUCCUUCCGGGCUCGCCAACGCCUUCGCUCAGCCCGCCUCUCUCCUUUCGGGGCGGUUGGGCUACGCGCCUGUGGGGCUGGACGCGGAGCCAGCGACCGAGCCUAUGGGGCGCGGCGGCGUCGUCGGUGGCGGCUGGGUCGGGACCCGACGGGCGGCAGAGCUGAGGUGGAGGCGGAAGGAGGUGGAAGGAGGCGGUGGCAGCCGAGGAGGGAAGAUGGCGGCGCCCGUCCCGCUGAGAGUGUCGGUGCCGCCGUGGGAGCGGGUGGCCUGGUAUGCCGUGUGCGGAUCCUGCUCUCCAUCUCCGCCGACCAUGUGGAGCGGGACCUCGAGCACCGGGCCCUCUGCAACCUGGAGCCCUAGGUGAAGUGCUCCGCCGCCCUUGUGACCAGAAUCCUUGCCCAGAGUCCAGUACCUCCUUCCUGUCCAGGAUCACCUUCUGGUGGAUCACAGGGUUUUCGCUCUGUCCAAUGGAAUAGAAGAGAGGCCUCAGAAGUUAACACCACACAUCUACAACCAUCUGAUCUUUC